UAGGGAAUCUUCGGCAAUGGACGAAAGUCUGACCGAGCAACGCCGCGUGAGUGAAGAAGGUUUUCGGAUCGUAAAACUCUGUUGUUAGAGAAGAACAAGGACGUUAGUAACUGAACGUCCCCUGACGGUAUCUAACCAGAAAGCCACGGCUAACUACGUGCCAGCAGCCGCGGUAAUACGUAGGUGGCAAGCGUUGUCCGGAUUUAUUGGGCGUAAAGCGAGCGCAGGCGGUUUCUUAAGUCUGAUGUGAAAGCCCCCGGCUCAACCGGGGAGGGUAAUUGGAAACUGGGAGACUUGAGUGCAGAAGAGGAGAGUGGAAUUCCAUGUGUAGCGGUGAAAUGCGUAGAUAUAUGGGGGAACACCAGUGGCGAAGGCGGCUCUCUGGUCUGUAACAGACGCUGAGGCUCGAAAGCGUGGGGAGCAAACAGG
rnacentral:rRNA from 1 species